rnacentral:lncRNA from 1 species
UCAUACAAAAUGAACGGUCCCUAAGUAAUAGGUGGUUUAGUGGUUCCAAACUGCCAACAAAAGGUAUCAAAACAGUUUGCAUUUUUUUAAAUUUCAUCUAGUGCUUUCUCAAAGUUAUGGAGCCAUAAAUGCAUUUAUAAGCAAAAAGAAUGCUUCAUUCAUAACCACUACAUGUAUUGUCUCAUUUGAUGAGUAACAGCUAAAAACUGAGGGGAACUUUUUACAAAAUUUACCUUCAGCGAGAGAUGGGGUCUUACUUGAAUGCGGAAGCUUAAUGCUGUGUAUCCUCCCGUAUAGCUGUUUUUUUGUUUUAUUUUCAUACAGAAUGUUGUUGAUAUAACCAUAAGCCCUAUCAAAAAACAGCUUGAUCUUCAUGUCGGCAGUGAUGCUGGCCUGAAGGAGGAUUGCAAGGUUAUUUUUGUUGUUCUUGUUGUUGUUGUUCACAUGUUUGGGUUGCCUGUACACUUCUUAUCUUUCAUGAGUUAUUUUAUUUACACUUUGAAAGUAACAAGAGUGCAGUGUUAAAACAAUGAAUAAAUAAUUCCCCCUAGGAUUUAGAGAACAGAGAUAGUGAUUGCAGUCUCACGGAAACACCUUAUUGGCUGCAGGGUGCAAAAAGGGGAAAUGUAAAAGUAGAGUUAUGACACUCAGAUGAGUCAUCAGAUGACUUCACAAAUGAAUGCAAAAAAUGUGCAAAGACCUUUUCAACCAGGUGUAAUCUGUUAAAACCCAUACGGCUUGGGAGGUGCUAGGGAAACCACAAAGAAGUCCAGCGUCAAUCAAAGAAUAGACAGCCAUUGACUGAAGUGAUAUGGAAGUCCAUGAAUGGAUGGGUAUUUGCAACAGGCACAAUGCCCUAGAGUGACAUGAGGUGGCCUAUGGUUAGUGGGCUGGACUCCAAUCCGAGCCAUCUUGGUUCAAGCCCUAUUCCUAUGUACUUCAUGCUACAGAAACUUGGACAAGCUCUUGCCUCAUGGCCACUAGGAUAGUACAUAAAUGUGUUAGCUCACCAACAAGAAGUGAAAGAAGUAGAAUAUCUGCCUUUUGAUGUGGAUGGGGAUUGUGCCUCCAAAGUUUCAUGCAUAAAAGCACAAAUGAUGAAAGCUGCAAAAGAUGGAAGACCUUGGAAAAAGUGGGUAACAUCAUACAGGGGUAUCUUGUUCCAAGAGAUAAUCAUUGUAUUUUUUCCAGCCUUAAAUGAAAAAUCAGCUGCCAUGACUCAGCGUCUAUAUAAUGCCAGUGUGUAUUAAUAAUUGCCAUCUGAUAUUUUUAAUUUUUCAUUGAAUAAGACUGAUUUAUUAGCACCCAAAAGUAUCAGUUAUUGAUCCAGCCACAUGCUCUUGGGCUGGGCUCCUUUAAUUUUUAAAUAGAUGUUGCAUAUAUUUUAUUAUUAUAAUUAUAAUUUUAUUUUAUUAUAUGCGCCACCCCUGAAUAAGCGCCGCUCUCAAAUAAGCACCGCAUUUGGGUUUAAAAAGUUAUUAAGUGCUGCCCUCGAAUAAGCGCCGCUGUCCUGAUGUGGCACUUAUUCAAGGGAUUCUGUAUAACUAAAUAAAAAACACUACAAAGCAACUCAAAAACAGUAUUAAAAUGAACAAUGAAAAUCAAAGUUAAGUGACGACACCACUAGCAAAGCAAUUCGAAAGGGCCGGGAAAAGACUAAUGAUGACAAUCAAAACACACUUAUGCUUGUUACAUAAAAGUUUCUUACAGAUAGAAAAAUACUGUUAAAUUCAAAGAAAAGAUUUCUUUGUCGUGUUAAAUUGUUAAAUAAGCGCCGCCCUCGAAUAAGUGCCACACUUCAGGGCAAAGCCCUGCUUGAUGUUCUGAACUUUUUUAAGGUUAGUGAGGCCUUUGGCCUGGCUGUAUACCUCUUCAAUGUUUUGCCAUUAUGCAUAGAGCUUUUCAAACAUUCAUAUGGAAAUUGGCUGGGCUUAGAUGCUGAAUUAUUAAGGAAAAAAAAAAACUGUUCAGCUUUGAGCAUAGCAUCAGGUAGUGGAGGUUUGGCUUCACACGUGUGGGUGCCACUAUGGCAAACUAAGACAUGCAAGUUCUCAAACUCCCACACUUUUUUGGCAAAAUAGGGAACAGCUAUAUUUAUAACAUAGCUAAAGCAAAGCGCGCUCUCU